GAAAUGCGUAGCUGAUGGGAAACAGGUUAAUAUUCCUGUACUUCUUAUAACUGCGAUGGAGAGACGGAGAAGGCUAUGCCUACCGGGCGUUGGUUGUCCCGGGGAAAGGCUGUAGGCUGAGGUGUUAGGCAAAUCCGGCACCUUAAGGCUGAGAGUCGAGACCACUGGUCCUUUGUGACCGGGAAGUGGUUGAUGCCAUGCUUCCAAGAAAAGC
rnacentral:rRNA from 13 species